rnacentral:lncRNA from 1 species
UCCAGACUCAUCCUGCCAUCAUGACCUUUUAUUGCCGUCACAUAUCACCAAACUAAGAGGAAGAGGCCAAAAGAACUGCUGGACACCAAUUCAGAGUUUUCCCACUCAGCAAUGUGGAUUUCCAUGUAAUCCUCAAAUCAAGGGGAAGGAAAGAACCAUUCCAAAAUGCCCUGCCAAUUCACAACUCUUCCUUGGCUCCCCUGGCCUCACCUCCUUUCUCUGGAUCCUCCCACCCUCCACUCUCUGCGUCGUUUGCCUGCAGUGUCUGUGACUCAUAGGCCUAU